GACGAACGCUGGCGGCGUGCUUAACACAUGCAAGUCGAACGGAAAGGCCCUGCUUUUGUGGGGUGCUCGAGUGGCGAACGGGUGAGUAACACGUGAGUAACCUGCCCUUUACUUUGGGAUAACUUCAGGAAACUGGGCUAAUACCGGAUAGGCGCUCCUGCUGCAUGGUGGGGGUUGGAAAGUUUCGGCGGUUGGGGAUGGACUCGCGGGUUAUCAGCUUGUUGGUGGGGUAGUGGCUUACCAAGGCUUUGACGGGUAGCCGGCCUGAGAGGGUGACCGGCCACAUUGGGACUGAGAGACGGCCCAGACUCGUACGUGAGGCAGCAGUGGGGAAUAUUGCACAGUGGGCGGAAGCCUGAUGCAGCGACGCCGCGUGCGGGAUGACGGCCUUCGGGUUGUAAACCGCUUUCGCCUGUGACGAAGCGUGAGUGACGGUAAUGGGUAAAGAAGCACCGGCUAACUACGUG
rnacentral:rRNA from 1 species